rnacentral:rRNA from 1 species
GAUGAACGCUGGCGGCGUGCCUAAUACAUGCAAGUCGAGCGAACAGACGAGGAGCUUGCUCCUCUGACGUUAGCGGCGGACGGGUGAGUAACACGUGGAUAACCUACCUAUAAGACUGGGAUAACUUCGGGAAACCGGAGCUAAUACCGGAUAAUAUAUUGAACCGCAUGGUUCAAUAGUGAAAGACGGUUUUGCUGUCACUUAUAGAUGGAUCCGCGCCGCAUUAGCUAGUUGGUAAGGUAACGGCUUACCAAGGCGACGAUGCGUAGCCGACCUGAGAGGGUGAUCGGCCACACUGGAACUGAGACACGGUCCAGACUCCUACGGGAGGCAGCAGUAGGGAAUCUUCCGCAAUGGGCGAAAGCCUGACGGAGCAACGCCGCGUGAGUGAUGAAGGUCUUCGGAUCGUAAAACUCUGUUAUUAGGGAAGAACAAAUGUGUAAGUAACUAUGCACGUCUUGACGGUACCUAAUCAGAAAGCCACGGCUAGCUACGUG